UACGUAGGGUGCGAGCGUUGUCCGGAUUUAUUGGGCGUAAAGAGCUCGUAGGCGGUUUGUCGCGUCGGCCGUGAAAUCUCCACGCUUAACGUGGAGCGUGCGGUCGAUACGGGCAGACUUGAGUUCGGUAGGGGAGACUGGAAUUCCUGGUGUAGCGGUGAAAUGCGCAGAUAUCAGGAGGAACACCGGGUGGCGAAGGCGGGUCUCUGGGCCGAUACUGACGCUGGAGGAGCGAAAGCCGUGGGGAGCGAACAGG
rnacentral:rRNA from 1 species